CCUACGGGUGGCUGCAGUGGGGAAUAUUGGACAAUGGGCGCAAGCCUGAUCCAGCAAUGCCGCGUGUGUGAAGAAGGCCUUAGGGUUGUAAAGCACUUUCAGCAAUGAAGAAGUUGUAUUGGCUAAUAUCCAAUAUAAUUGACGUUAGUUGCAGAAGAAGUACUGGCUAACUCUGUGCCAGUAGCCGCGGUAAUACAGAGAGUGCAAGCGUUAAUCGAAAUUAUUGGGCGUAAAGAAAAAGGAGGUAGUUGAAAUCCCUGUGCUUAACCUAGGAAUUGCAUUUAAUACUUUUUAUCUAGAGUAUUGUAGGGGGAAGUGGAAUUUCCGGUGUAGCGGUGAAAUGCGUAGAUAUCGGAAGGAACACCAGUGGCGAAGGCGACUUCCUGGACAAAUACUGACACUGAGACACGAAAGCGUGGGGAGCAAACAGGAUUAGAUACCCGUGUAGUC
rnacentral:rRNA from 1 species